rnacentral:lncRNA from 1 species
GGAUGACAAGAUGAGGUCACCUUUUAUGAGAACUAUUCAUAGAAGCUGAGUAGCCCAACAGGAAAGUAAAGCUGGUCCCUUCCUCUGGUACUCUUUAUUUGAUAAACAUAAUUAAGAGUUAAAGUGAGAUAAUGGAACCUUGAGAGAGCUUGAGAAUUUUUCACUUGGAAUUUAGGAAUAAAUAGUACUUUCUUUUAUCUAUAAAAUCCAGAAAUAGGGUACUAUCUUAAUUAGUCUGCGACUCCACAAAAAUAGGUUGGUGAAUUUGAGACGAGUUGCACUUCUGUUAUUUGGUGUAUUCUAGAAGUGAAGUAACUACUCUUAGUUAAGUGGAGACAGGCUGUUUCUCAGAAAAUAAUUUUAUUUAAGUUAUAAAAGUUUCAUGUAUUUUAUAUAUACAGAUGUAGGAACAUAGGGACACUUCCCCUCACCCUCCCUUACACCCAUGCUCCAACCCUUCCUCCUCCUCCCUCUCACAUUCUCUUAAUUUUUACAAAGUUCUAUUUUCAUAGAGUUAAUCCUACACUAAGUAAAAGAGGUCAACAAAUAGUAUGAAGAGAAAAAAAAAAAAAAAACUCUUCCUCUAUGGAAGAAACAAGAGCGAUAAAUAAAUAUUCUCAAGAUAUUCCAGUUGUGAGAUUUUCAGAUCAUCAUUACUCAGAGAGUGCAGAGUAUACUAAAAAGGCUGGAAGUGAAAUGAUGUGUUAGAAAAAAUUCAUACAUUAAAAGCAAAGACCAUGCCAUGGAAAUGUGAAAUGCUGUUUUCUCAUGAUUUUCUUCCAAAUAAUAUAUGCCUAUAGUUAUAUUUGCACACAUGUCAUGAACAGGAUCUGAUAGCCAGGAAAUUACUUCAAAUAUGACUUCCAAAAUAAUCCUUCCCAUAAUCUGUUAACCCAGGACCUACUUCAACCUUGGAGUAAUCAGAAAUGAGGAAGAAAUGGAAAUCAAUUUUGAUAGACAAACUGAAGUCUAAGUUCAAGUGUGAGAAGAUGAGGAAUCUGAGACCCAAAGUGUUGAAUAAUUUGCACGUUAUUAGGACUACAUUAAAUGAGCUUCCAGAUCUUCCACAUGGAUGGCAGGAGCCCAAGCACUUGGGUCAUCCUCUGAUGCCUUUCCUAGGCCAUUAAACACUAGCUGAAUCAGAAGUGGAGCUGCUGGGACAAGAACCAGUACCGCUAUGGCAUGCAGGAUUUGCAGGUGGUAACCACUCUUCCAACAUGCUGGCCCCAGUCUUCUAGUCUUCUAAUCAGUAAUUAUAACUAAUAUUUCCGGGGCAUGUACAAUACAAAAACCACUGAACAAAGCAUUUUAUUUAUUUAUUAUCUCAGAGAAAAUACCUACUUACCUUAUGAUGCAUAUAAAUAUGUUCUUUCUUUCUCUAUCCUAAAGAAGAUUCUGCUAAAAAGUCAACUAA